CUUGAAAACAGCAAGUGACAGACACACAUGGUUUUCAGUAAUGAUCACAGGACCAUAUAACAAAUCAAAUUAAAUUCAGGUUUAGUCCAUGGGAUCACCCCAACCAACCCCUCAUGUUUAAGAACUUAAAAACAGUUAAGAUCCCCACCCCUAAACCAUAUAUAUUCUUAUAUGGUACACUAAAACAAAUCAAAUGAAAUGAAAGGCAAGUCCUCUGGGGUCACUCCCACCCCCUUGUUGUUUGAGAACUUGUUAACAGUUGAGAUCCCC
rnacentral:lncRNA from 1 species